rnacentral:lncRNA from 1 species
GAACCAGUGUUGUGAUUUUGCGCUGUAACGUGGCUGAGAAAGCGCUGUGAAGUGAUAUGCGUCGGUGUGGUGCGUCAGCUGUAUCGAGUGGCUCCAGGUAAGAAGUCAGGUGAUGUGAAUCAGCGUGGUGAUUUCGCGCCGUCACGUGGCUGAGAAAGCGCUGUGAUGUGCGUGGGUGUGGUGCGUCAGCUGUAUCGAGUGGCUUCAGAUAAAACGUCAGGGAAUGUGAAUGUGGUGAUUUCGCGCUGUCACGUGAUUGAGAAAGCUAUGUGAUGUGCGUCGGUGUGGUGCGUCAGCUGUAUCGAGUGGCGUCAGGUAAAAAAGUCAGGUGAUGUGAAUCAGCGUGGUGAUUUCGCGCUGUCACGUGGCUAAGAAAGCGCUGUGAAUUGAUGUGCGUCGGUGUGGUGCGUCAGCUGUAUCGAGUGGCUUCAGAUAAAACGUCAGGUGAAUGUGAAUCUGUGUGGUGAUUUCGAGCUGUCACGUGGUGAGAAAGCUCUGUGAUGUGAACCAGUGUGGUGAUUUCGCGCUGUCACGUGGUUGAGAAAGCGCUGUGAAAGGGAGCGCGACGGUGUGGUGAAUCAGUGUCGCCGUGGCGCAAAACUCCAGUGAUGUGAAUUAACGAGUGUUCUAGCCUUGCUAAUUGUGUGCAGCGGUAUGGUAAUUUAUUUCUGCUGCAUGCCUCCAGGCAAAUAGCAAAGUGAAGUGAAUCGUUGUGAUGUGAAGUGGUUGCGCAACUGUGUUUGAGAGGGUGUGCGUGAUGCGGUGUGAUGCGUGGGUGCGAUGAAUUAGUUGUGCUCGUCGGUAUGGUAGCCGGUGACAAAAGUUUGCGACGUGGAACGCCAAAGGACGUAAAGAGGAAGCAUCGUGCUGCUUACGUCGCCUGUGAAACGAUAAUCCACGCUGUCUAUUGCGUGCCUGUGUUUCACGAGAAAUGCGUGGUGUGCUCCGACCUGCUGUUUUUCACGUGCUGGAGCACAAGAAUUCCAGUGUUCGGCCCUCGACGUAUUCUGUGCGUACUUUGUGUGUAGUGGAGUGAUGGGAAAAUUGCAGUGCGUAGUGCAAUCGUCCCGAAGUACUGCUGAUAGUUUGGAAGAAGCUUCUACUACUGUAGGUAAUUAGUGAAGUGGUGGAGGCGCCCUUGCUCGUCGUUAGCGACGCUGUCGUGCUUUGUUGCCUGUUUAAGGUUUGUGCAAGGCUAGGCGAAGUGCGAUUUGUGCGUCGGCCUACUUGAAGUGAUACAAGUUCUUGUAAAAAGUGUGUGGACGUGAGGUGUCGCUUCACUCAGCGGCGUGAAGCUCCUUACUGAGGAUGCCUUUUUGCCAAGUCGUGUCGUGUUGUGCUGCACAGUUCGUGGUUUGUGCCGUGCAAUCCAAUCCGUGCAGAAGUCCGCCUGAGUCGUGCUUGCACCAUCGGUGGUGAGUGGCUUACAAUAAGUGAGUGCAUCUGUGUGCGGUAGGUUCAUCGUUAUUAAGGCCUAUGAAGCGUGUGCUCCGUCAGCGUCCACGUUGUGUUUUAAAUGUUGCAAGUAUGCGUGUUAUACGUAUCCAACACGUGCACUGUGAUAAAAUGAGAUCAACGCAAAACUGAUCAAACGUGCAAUGAGAAGUGCGGCUGUGGUGCUGGCGUGUGUUUGUUGUGCAUAAUAUGGCGAUACGUCGUAUGCAAAUCGACAAGAUGUGAUGGUGAACAUGAAUGGAAAUCAACGUGCGCUCGUGAUGUGAAGUGCAGCUUUUGAGCUGAGCUUAGUGCAGGUCAGCUGUGAAAAGUGCAAGUGAAAGCGAGUUGCCGUGAAAUCUGCGGUAGGUGUGGUGUGUGGGGGAGACCAAGCUGGGCGUGCGGUAGUUCAUGCGGAGGUUCCGCUGUGGUGCAGUGGCAUCUGUGGAAGGUGCAGAAGAGAUUUGUGUGGCUGAUUCGCGGCGGUUGAAUAACUAGUGACCUGCGAGCAGUGGGUCCAGAUGUGCGUUAAUUGAAAGUGAGCACUCCGUUAAUUUUAAUCGUCUGCAUUUAACGACAUCGUGCGUGAGUGGGAAGAAUGGAGACAUUCGGUCGUCAAAGUGGACAUACUCAAGCAAUUUUUCUUCCAGCUGAAGUAAAGGUAAGCGCUAUGGUAAGUAGUGGGUGUAUGACACGUCUAAGAAUACCAAUAAAAGAUUUCUACACUCAAA